CCCUUAGAUGUCCUGGGCCGCACGCGCGUUACACUGAUGCAUUCAACGAGCCUAUAACCUUGGCCGAGAGGCCUGGGCAAUCUUGUUAACGUGCAUCGUGAUAGGGAUAGAUUAUUGAAAUUAUUAAUCUUGAACGAGGAAUUCCUAGUAAACGCAGAUCAUCAAUCUGCAUUGAUUACGUCCCUGCCCUUUGUACACACCGCCCGUCGCACCUACCGAUUGGAUGGUCCGGUGAAGCCUCGGGAUUGUGGUUAGUUUCCUUCAUUGGAAGUUAGCCGCGAGAACUUGUCUAAACCUUAUCAUUUAGAGGAAGGUGAAGUCGUAACA
rnacentral:rRNA from 1 species